rnacentral:rRNA from 1 species
AUGCAUUGGCCCCGUGAACAUCCCGUUGGUCAUUAUCUGCACGAGGAACGGUCAGGCGAAAGUCAUCAAGAAGACAAGAACUUCAUAUGGGAGAAAAAUUACUGGAGGUUCAGAGAUGGUCACCUCCAUUGUAAGACCAAUGCUGAUCAGCAAGGUGUGGUCACACGCAGCUGGAACAUUGUACCAGGUUCCAUCUUUCAGAUAUUGCAGCCCCGCGACGUCUUUGUCCAUGAGGAGAACCGUGAGAGCAGGGAAAUCGGCGUGAGGCUUGAUGCCCAGGACAAGAUCAGGUCUUGGACACGGAGGGAAGUGGUUGAAUCUAGCAAAAGUGGGGGCGUUGCUGUUAAACUGAUUAACAAGGCAGUCUUCAUCAAGCUCCAAAAUCUUAGCCAUUGCCCGAAGGAUGUCGCCUUUGAUUCUCUUGCACUUCAAUGUGUAUUCGUGCAGAUCAUCCCUGCAAACAGAGCCCAUGUAGUCCAAUUAAACCAAGCCUAG